ACGAACGCUGGCGGCGUGCCUCAUACAUGCAAGUUGAGCGCUGAAGGUUGGUACUUGUACCAACUGGAUGAGCAGCGAACGGGUGAGUAACGCGUGGGGAAUCUGCCUUUGAGCGGGGGACAACAUUUGGAAACGAAUGCUAAUACCGCAUAAAAACUUUAAACACAAGUUUUAAGUUUGAAAGAUGCAAUUGCAUCACUCAAAGAUGAUCCCGCGUUGUAUUAGCUAGUUGGUGAGGUAAAGGCUCACCAAGGCGAUGAUACAUAGCCGACCUGAGAGGGUGAUCGGCCACAUUGGGACUGAGACACGGCCCAAACUCCUACGGGAGGCAGCAGUAGGGAAUCUUCGGCAAUGGACGAAAGUCUGACCGAGCAACGCCGCGUGAGUGAAGAAGGUUUUCGGAUCGUAAAACUCUGUUGGUAGAGAAGAACGUUGGUGAGAGUGGAAAGCUCAUCAAGUGACGGUAACUACCCAGAAAGGGACGGCUAACUACGU
rnacentral:rRNA from 1 species